GACGAACGCUGGCGGCGUGCUUAACACAUGCAAGUCGAACGAAGAGCGAUGGAAGCUUGCUUCUAUCAAUCUUAGUGGCGCACGGGUGAGUAACGCGUAAUCAACCUGCCCUUCAGAGGGGGACAACAGUUGGAAACGACUGCUAAUACCGCAUACGAUCUAAUCUCGGCAUCGAGGAAAGAUGAAAGGUGGCCUCUAUUUAUAAGCUAUCACUGAAGGAGGGGAUUGCGUCUGAUUAGCUAGUUGGAGGGGUAACGGCCCACCAAGGCGAUGAUCAGUAGCCGGUCUGGGAGGAUGAACGGCCACAUUGGGACUGAGACACGGCCCAGACUCCUACGGGAGGCAGCAGUGGGGAAUCUUCCGCAAUGGACGAAAGUCUGACGGAGCAACGCCGCGUGAGUGAUGACGGCCUUCGGGUUGUAAAGCUCUGUUAAUCGGGACGAAAGGCCUUCUUGCGAACAGUUAGAAGGAUUGACGGUACCGGAAUAGAAAGCCACGGCUAACUACGUG
rnacentral:rRNA from 1 species